rnacentral:snRNA from 1 species
CUUUCCAAAACUUCACUGACACAUAUACUAAAAUUGGAACAAUACAGAGAAGAUUAGAAUACUCCCUGCACAAGGAGUGCGCAACCUCUUGAAGUGUUCCCUAUUUUU